UCAGAAUCGUAGUUUAAUUAAAAUACUAGCAUUGGAAGCUAGAGAUUAGGUAAUAUGUCCCUACAUUCUGAA
rnacentral:tRNA from 1 species